rnacentral:rRNA from 4 species
GGACGGGUGAGUAAUGUCUGGGAAACUGCCUGAUGGAGGGGGAUAACUACUGGAAACGGUGGCUAAUACCGCAUAACGUCGCAAGACCAAAGAGGGGGACCUUCGGGCCUCUUGCCAUCAGAUGUGCCCAGAUGGGAUUAGCUUGUUGGUGAGGUAACGGCUCACCAAGGCGACGAUCCCUAGCUGGUCUGAGAGGAUGACCAGCCACACUGGAACUGAGACACGGUCCAGACUCCUACGGGAGGCAGCAGUGGGGAAUAUUGCACAAUGGGCGCAAGCCUGAUGCAGCCAUGCCGCGUGUAUGAAGAAGGCCUUCGGGUUGUAAAGUACUUUCAGCGGGGAGG